UAACGAAGUACAUAUUGUAUUUCAUGUUUAUGAAAUUUGAACGGCUAAUUCAUGAAUUAUUUAAUUUAACCUGGUCUCAAGCUGUUUAGCAUAAUUCCAUGCGUCAUAUGUAAAUUAAUUGGACCAGAACGUUUCAAUAAAUAAAUAUUUAACAAAUUUACAAACCAAGCGUCAAAAAUGGAUGGCGGCAUCGUCCAAUGAUGAAUUGCUAGAAGCUGAGAAAGAGAAAAAGUUGAAUAGCUCGUCGAAACUAACGUUCUUAGUCCUUAGAAUGAUUCCAGUUAUUCUGCGUAUCGAAUGUACCGUAUCUAUGAAUUCUAAAAUUUUUGGUAAUCAAAAGUUUGUGGGCAAUCAAAAAUUCAUAGACUGUGGCUUAUGGACCAUAUAUUAUGUAUGCACGUGGUCUAAGGACCAUGUGGCGCACUAUCACCAUGUAGCUGCAAAGGGCCGAACUAAAUCUCCGGUAUACGUAUCAUGCAGAUCGUCGGAUAACUUUGAUUAUUGUGUAAUUAGAGAAUAAAAAAAAUAAUAUAAUGAUACAGAAUUGUUGAGAUGGUAUCGACGCAACAAACUCUCCUGAACAGUUGAGUGCCUCUGGUUUUUUUUCUUCUAUGCUCUAAUUAUGCCAUAAUUGGCAUCUGUCGCUAUGCGGUGAUAGUGCGCCACAGUCCGUGAACUAGCUAUUUUGAAGAAAAUCAUAAUUACCCAUAAUUAUGACUUAGCUAUAAGACGGUCUGAGAUAUGGAUUCUGUACUUAAAAACGCUGGGAAUAUUUUGCAACCAAGAACACCAGUUUAGAGUUAUUAAUUUCUCAAAUAUUUAUGCUUUCUGUUUUCUACAUCGAAAGGCGGCAAAUUCAAAUUCGACGAAGAUCGUGAUUCUUUGCACGAUUUGUAAAGUAUAAGAAUUAUUAUAUCGACCAUAAACGGGAAUAUAAAUAUUGAAUAUAAAAAGGCCUUCGAUGGAAUAAUCGAGAUUAAUUUUCGUCGUUUGUUAUAGUUAUUUAUUUAUUAUAAAAUUAUGCUUCCAACAAAUUGUAAAGGAAUAUAUGCAUGCAUGGAAUCGAAUCGAUCGGACAGACGAUCGUUAAAAAAAUUUUUUGCAAUCGAACAUUGAUACACAGCUCUGUGUUCUGUUAUAAUUAGUAUUUCUAGGUUUGAAGCAAAUCGCUGUACACGCGGACAUCACCUACUUAACAUUUCUCCUCUUUUGUGAUCUACAAUGAUCUUGUAAACUUUACGUAAGGAAGAACCAAGAUUUUUUCUAUGAGAUUCAAAGCUGCCUAAUAAUUUGUUUUUCUAUCGAUAUCUGUGCUCCUCCUUGCGUAAAGCGUAUAUUCAGCUGUUUCCUCACCUUUUCGUUCUCUUUUUAAUCUACAAAGUACUUAAUUAUUGGCUGUUCCGUUGUCAUCAUAAAAAAUGUAGAACAAUCGAUCAAACUUACUUGAGGUAACGAUGUUUACGGACGAAAGUAAAUUGUCAUUUUACAUUUUGUAUAAUACAAGCCUGACACUACGUACAAAUGAAAAAUUCGAAGAGCAAAUAAUACGUACUCGUUCAUCGUUGAACAAGUAACAGUCUUCAGAUGUUUCUAGUACGCGAAGUUUAUAAUGACGUGUCCCUUUUGAUUACGGUGUACAAUUUUACGAAUCUCGAAAAGUAUCACAUGUUACGCGCGAAAACAAUAAACUCAAUAAGAGACAAUAA